CCUACGGGACGCGGCAGUGGGGGAUAUUGCACAAUGGGGGGAACCCUGAUGCAGCGACGCCGCGUGGGCGAUGGAGUGCUUCGGCAUGUAAAGCCCUAUCAGCAGGGAAGAAAAUGACGGUACCUGACUAAGAAGCCCCGGCUAAAUACGUGCCAGCAGCCGCGGUAAUACGUAUGGGGCAAGCGUUAUCCGGAUUUACUGGGUGUAAAGGGUGCGUAGGCGGCUUUGCAAGUCAGAAGUGAAAUCCAUGGGCUUAACCCAUGAACUGCUUUUGAAACUGCAGAGCUUGAGUGGAGUAGAGGUAG
rnacentral:rRNA from 1 species